rnacentral:lncRNA from 1 species
UCAAGCUACCGUUGGCCAAGACAGUUUCAAAAUGGAAACGAACAUGGUUAAUUUCCGCAAUGUAGUGGAUGGCCAGCCUUUUACAAACUGGUAUGAUAAUGGGAGCAACCAAGUGGCUUUUGGGAGAGGAAACAGAGGAUUCAUUGUUUUCAACAAUGAUGACUGGACAUUUUCUUUAACUUUGCAAACUGGUCUUCCUGCUGGCACAUACUGUGAUGUCAUUUCUGGAGAUAAAAUUAAUGGCAA